UGAAGCCUGUGUGUGGGUCCUGUGCCAGGGGCAGCUCAGCGUAGGGAGUGCCCUGGGGAGCCCCAGGGAGCGGCUGGGGGGCUGCAGUGUAAAAGAGUAGGCCAGAUGGCUGAAGCAAGCUACCCCAACAGCCCUGGUUCCCUGCAAAGAGCAACCGGGGCUGGCCUGGAAGCCCACAGCAGUGACAGUCACGGUGCCACUCUCGGUGCCACAGAUGGAAAUGCAGGUCGCAAUCUGAAGGAGUGGCUGAGGGAGCAGUUCUGCGACCACCCCCUCGAGCACUGCGAAGACACGAGGUUGCAUGAUGCUGCCUAUGUUGGGGACCUGGACACACUCCGGAGCUUGCUGCAGGAGGAGAGCUUCCAAAGCCGAAUCAACGAGAAGUCUGUGUGGUGCUGUGGCUGGCUGCCCUGCACCCCGCUGCGCAUCGCUGCCACCGCUGGCCAUGGCAACUGCGUGGAUUUCCUCCUCCAGAAAGGGGCGGAGAUUGAUCUGGUGGACGUGAAGGGGCAGACAGCCCUCUACGUGGCUGUGGUGAACGGGCACCUGGAGUGCACCCAAAUCUUGCUGGAAGCUGGCGCAGACCCUAACGGGAGCCGUCACCAUCGCAGCACCCCUGUGUACCACACCUCCCGCGUGGGCAGGGCCGACAUCCUGAGAGAGCUGAUAAGGUAUGGCGCUGACGUGGACGUCAACCACCACUUGCCCUCCCGGGUCCCCAGCCCCUCCUCUCGCCCGCUCACUUCCUUGGUGGUCUGCCCUCUGUACAUCAGCGCUGCCUAUCACAACCUCCAGUGCUUCAAGCUGCUGCUCCAGGCCGGAGCCAACCCUGAUUUUAACUGCUGUGGCCCCGUCAACAUCCAGGGCUUCUCCAGGGGCUCCCCGGUCUGUGUGAUGGAUGCUGUCUUGAGACACGGCUGCGAGCCAGCCUUUGUCAACCUCUUAAUUGACUUUGGAGCCAACUUGAACCUGGUGAAGGCAGAGGCCCUGGGUACCGAAUCGACUGGAAGAGUCAAAGUCAACCCAGAAGCCUUGCAGAUGUUCAAAGAAGCCAGGAGCUGCCCCAGGAGCUUAUUGUCUUUGUGCCGUGUGGCCGUGCGGAGGAUACUUGGCAAAUACCAUCUGCAUCUGAUACAUACUCUUCCAGUCCCAGACCCUAUCAAACAAUUUUUACUUCACAAACAGAGCUAGAAUGCAAUCAGCUGCUUUGGGGACAGUUUGCUGUACGAAAUGAAUGAGCUGAUGAAAACAGUAGCACCUAGAGGCCACAACUGAGAUCAAGGCCCCAGUGUGCUGUCCAGACAUAGUAAAAGACAGCCCCUGCCUCAGUCACUGAACAGAGAUCAUCUUCUGAAUCAUCAACCAGUGCUUUAAUCACAAGGCCAUCCUACACUUUUAAAGCUGCUAACAAUUUGUUGGUAGUACUAUGCCAUUUCUACGCUUUUCUUACGUGCUGUUAGGCUUGCUCACUAGAAAACAUCUGAGGUUUAUGGAUUUUAUGUGCCUUAAUAAA